UGCAAAGCAUUGAAGAGGAAAAGUAAAAAAAUGAUGUCUAGAAGAGAGAACCAUCACCGGCUGAAAGUGGUUCAGACCUCUUGUUUUUUGAAGUGCCCCUCAGAGUCUUUUACCGAACAAUGUAGUAGGUAAGAGCGGUUCAGGCCGUUAUCCUGUAUAAGUGGGGAACAGUGAAUUUGCUGUUUCAAACAGAGUGGAACCGCGCAUUCAAAAGCGUCUCUGUC
rnacentral:ncRNA from 1 species